UACGGAGGGGGCGAGCGUUAAUCGGAAUUACUGGGCGUAAAGCGCACGUAGGCGGUUGGGUAAGUCGGAUGUGAAAGCCCUGGGCUUAACCUGGGAACUGCCUUCGAUACUGCUCGGCUAGAGUAUGGGAGAGGGAAGCGGAAUUUCCGGUGUAGCGGUGAAAUGCGUAGAUAUCGGAAGGAACGCCAAUGGCGAAGGCAGCUUCCUGUCCCAAUACUGACGCUCAGGUGCGAAAGCGUGGGGAUCAAACAGG
rnacentral:rRNA from 1 species